rnacentral:rRNA from 1 species
UACAGAGGUCUCAAGCGUUGUUCGGAUUCAUUGGGCGUAAAGGGUGCGUAGGCGGCGCGGUAAGUCGGGUGUGAAAUCUCGGAGCUUAACUCCGAAACUGCAUUCGGAUACUGCCGUGCUUUGAGGACUGGAGAGGAGACUGGAAUUUACGGUGUAGCGGUGAAAUGCGUAGAUAUCGAUAAGGAAGACCAGUGGCGAAGGCGGGUCUCUGGGACAGUUCCUGACGCUGAGGCGCGAAGGCCAGGGGAGCAAACGGG